AUAUUUAUAAAUAAAUUAAUAAUAUAUAAUAUCUCUCAGAUCUCUAUAAGCAACCUAUUGAUUUUUAUAAUAUAUAAAAAAAAUUAAAUUAAGAAAAACCAUCGUUUUUUUUUUACUAUAAAUUGACCCAUCAAACCCCUGAAGAUUUCAGUUUGUGUUGAAUCUUUCUCUCUCUUCUGUCUCACUGAAAGAUACCCGAAAGCCACCUCCUCUUCUCUCAUUCAUAAGGUUGAAGAGAAAUGGCACGCAAGAAGAUCAGAGAGUAUGAUUCCAAGAGGUUGUUGAAGGAGCACUACAAGAGGCUCGCCGGCACCGAAUUGGGCAUGAAAUCUG